CUUACCUUUAAAUUCAAGCGGUAUUUUCCUCCAGUGCCAAGUGGGGGUUGUCACUGAGGUCACAGGCGUCCAGUGGGGGAGCAAGGGGGCUGCUGAUGCCCCCGCACUGAACUUGUGUCCACAACCACCGAGCUGCUGGAAAGCCUGAGACGCUGUGAGUGGCCCAGUGACAUGGCCGCGCGUCUCGGGAUUCAAAAGAGGGUUCUGGAGAUGUAUUCAGUGCUUCGAAUGAAACGAUUCUUAGCCCCUGGAAGUAGGACGGGUGUUCAGUUCACACAAGGUUGUUAAAAGAGCCCAGGAAAUAUGCCAUAUAGUCAUUUAGANNNNNNNNNNNNNNNNNNNNUUUGGCACUCAGAUCAGUUUGGAAAAUUUCAUGCCCAACCGCUGCCUGAUAGCCAGGCCCCCGGAGAAGUAUGCUCCAUUCAUGGGUUCAUCUCUCAGGCACCUCACCCGGCCAGCCCCCUGUCCCUGCGUAGCUCACGCCUCAAGCUAACCGUCUAAAACAGCUCCAGGCCGGCUGGUACGGCUGCUGAGAGAGCAGCUUGUGAUGGCAGGGUCUCGAAAGGCCUGGAGAAGAAGAGGCGUGGAGAGCCGAGGGCCGCCCUGCUCUAACUUCAGCUGCGGACGUGGAGGCGGGUCAGCCCUGGCCGCUGGGGCCUGUUCCUUCCCCCACGGCACAGCCUCAUGUCUCACAUCUCCCAGCCAAGCUCCGUCCUGCCUCCUUCUUGGGGAAGCAAAAAUUCCUUAGCAUCUUCAGAACGGCUGCUCAGAGAAGGAGGCGGCUGCCUCUGCGCUGCCAAACAGCCUUUCCAGUCUGGAACAGCUGCCUCUGGACACCAGCCUCCUCCCCCACCCCGCCAGGACUCCCAGAAGCCGCGUGGGGAAGUGCUGCCUACAUCUACUCGAUGCAAGGCAUUGUCAGAGCCCCACCCAAGACGAGAUUUCUGCAUUGAUAGAGGCCGAGUGUCACCCAAGCCUUGGUCCCUGUCAGACAGUGGGUGACAACCCUGUCCUUCAAAAGAGACGGCAGUGCUUGACCCUGCGCUCAGGACUCUUCUGGACAGCACCCUCCAUCUCUGGCAAAGAGAAGAGCCUGGGGUCGGGAGCCCUGGAACCAGCGGUGGGCAUUCGGAUCCAUCCUGGGGGGAGCCGGGCCCUGUCGGCGCCCAGGGGAGCCUGGGCUUGGCCACUGCAGCAGGAGGUGAGGACCUGUGUGGCGCAGGGGCCUGGAGGGACCCUACAGAGGCAGGAAGUAUGUCUUCGAUCCCUGGAUUCAGGGGGCUGCCCAGAAGGAGCCCCAUACGGCCCCCCAGGCUGCAUGGGAUGUGUCUUUACAGCGGGCCCCUGCCAAUCUGUGAACCUCCUGGGAGACUCGGCCCCCCCGGGCCCC
rnacentral:lncRNA from 1 species